rnacentral:rRNA from 1 species
GGAAUAUUGGACAAUGGGCGCAAGCCUGAUCCAGCAACGCCGCGUGGAGGAUGAAGGCCUUCGGGUCGUAAACUCCUGUCCGGAGGGAAGAAGAAGUGACGGUACCUCUGGAGGAAGCCCCGGCUAACUCCGUGCCAGCAGCCGCGGUAAUACGGGGGGGGCGAGCGUUGUUCGGAUUUACUGGGCGUAAAGGGCGCGUAGGCGGUCUCAGAAGUUCUGGGUGAAAGCCCCCGGCUCAACCGGGGAAGUGCCUGGAAAACCAUGGGACUGGAGUGCUGGAGAGGCAAGCGGAAUUUCUGGUGUAGCGGUGAAAUGCGUAGAUAUCAGAAGGAACAUCUGAGGCGAAGGCGGCUUGCUGGACAGACACUGACGCUGAGGCGCGAAAGCUAGGGGAGCAAAC